UACGUAGGGACCAAGCGUUGUUCGGAUUUACUGGGCGUAAAGGGCGCGUAGGCGGCAUGACAAGUCACUUGUGAAAUCUCUGGGCUUAACCCAGAACGGCCAAGUGAUACUGUCGCGCUAGAGUGCAGAAGGGGCAAUCGGAAUUCUCGGUGUAGCAGUGAAAUGCGUAGAUAUGUGGAGGAAUACCGAUGGCGAAGGCAGCCCCCCUGGGAUAACACUGACGCUCAUGCACGAAAGCGUGGGGGAGCAAACAGG
rnacentral:rRNA from 1 species